rnacentral:rRNA from 1 species
CUAACACAUGCAAGUCGAGCGAUUCUCUUCGGAGAAGAGCGGCGGACGGGUGAGUAACGCGUGGGUAACCUGCCUCAUACACAUGGAUAACAUACCGAAAGGUAUGCUAAUACAGGAUAACAUAAGAGAUUCGCAUGUUUCUCUUAUCAAAGCUCCGGCGGUAUGAGAUGGACCCGCGUCUGAUUAGCUAGUUGGUAAGGUAAUGGCUUACCAAGGCGACGAUCAGUAGCCGACCUGAGAGGGUGAUCGGCCACAUUGGAACUGAGACACGGUCCAAACUCCUACGGGAGGCAGCAGUGGGGAAUAUUGCACAAUGGGCGAAAGCCUGAUGCAGCAACGCCGCGUGAGUGAUGAAGGCCUUCGGGUCGUAAAACUCUGUCCUCAAGGAAGAUAAUGACGGUACUUGAGGAGGAAGCCCCGGCUAACUACGUGCCAGCAGCCGCGGUAAUACGUAGGGGGCUAGCGUUAUCCGGAUUUACUGGGCGUAAAGGGUGCGUAGGUGGUUUCUUAAGUCAGGAGUGAAAGGCUACGGCUUAACCGUAGUAAGCUCUUGAAACUGGGAAACUUGAGUGCAGGAGAGGAAAGUGGAAUUCCUAGUGUAGCGGUGAAAUGCGUAGAUAUUAGGAGGACACCAGUAGCGAAGGCGGCUUUCUGGACUGUAACUGACACUGAGGC